rnacentral:rRNA from 1 species
UACAGAGGUCCCAAGCGUUGUUCGGAUUUACUGGGCGUAAAGGGUGCGUAGGCGGUCGGGUAAGUUCGAUGUGAAAUCUCCAGGCUCAACCUGGAAACUGCAUUGAAUACUAUCCGGCUGGAGGGUUGGAGGGGAGACUGGAAUUCUCGGUGUAGCAGUGAAAUGCGUAGAUAUCGAGAGGAACACCAGUGGCGAAGGCGAGUCUCUGGACAACUCCUGACGCUGAGGCACGAAAGCGUGGGUAGCAAAUAGG